GGUUAAGCGACUAAGCGUACACGGUGGAUGCCCUGGCAGUCAGAGGCGAUGAAGGGCGUGCUAAUCUGCGAUAAGCGCCGGUAAGGUGAUAUGAACCGUUAUAACCGGCGAUACCCGAAUGGGGAAACCCAGUGUGACUCGUCACACUAUCAUUAACUGAAUCCAUAGGUUAAUGAGGCGAACCGGGGGAACUGAAACAUCUAAGUACCCCGAGGAAAAGAAAUCAACCGAGAUUCCCCCAGUAGCGGCGAGCGAACGGGGAGGAGCCCAGAGCCUGAAUCAGCAUGUGUGUUAGUGGAAGCGUCUGGAAAGGCGCGCGAUACAGGGUGACAGCCCCGUACACAAAAGCGCAUGUGCUGUGAGCUCGAUGAGUAGGGCGGGACACGUGGUAUCCUGUCUGAAUAUGGGGGGACCAUCCUCCAAGGCUAAAUACUCCUGACUGACCGAUAGUGAACCAGUACCGUGAGGGAAAGGCGAAAAGAACCCCGGCGAGGGGAGUGAAAAAGAACCUGAAACCG
rnacentral:rRNA from 1 species